UGGGGAAUCUUCCGCAAUGGACGAAAGUCUGACGGAGCAACGCCGCGUGAGUGAAGAAGGUUUUCGGAUCGUAAAGCUCUGUUGUUUGAGACGAAUGUGCAGACUUUGAAUAAGGGUUUGUAAUGACGGUAUUAAACGAGAAAGCCACGGCUAACUACGUGCCAGCAGCCGCGGUAAUACGUAGGUGGCAAGCGUUGUCCGGAAUUAUUGGGCGUAAAGGGAGCGCAGGUGGGAAUGUAAGUCAGUCUUAAAAGUGCGGGGCUCAACCCCGUGAGGGGAUUGAAACUACAUUUCUUGAGUGCAGGAGAGGAAAGUGGAAUUCCUAGUGUAGCGGUGAAAUGCGUAGAGAUUAGGAGGAACACCAGUGGCGAAGGCGACUUUCUGGACUGUAACUGACACUGAGGCUCGAAAGCCAGGGGAGCGAACG
rnacentral:rRNA from 1 species